rnacentral:rRNA from 1 species
AGAGUUUGAUCCUGGCUCAGGACGAACGCUGGCUAACACAUGCAAGUCGAGCGGAGAUAUUUGAGUAGUUUACUAUGAAAAUAUUUUAGCGGCGGACGGGUGAGUAACGCGUGAGUAACCUGCCUGUAAGAGGGGGAUAACACAUCGAAAGGUGUGCUAAUACCGCAUAUUGUAUAAUAUCCGCAUGGAUGCUAUAUGAAAGGAGCAACCGCUUACAGAUGGACUCGCGUCCCAUUAGCUAGUUGGUAGAGUAAAAGCCUACCAAGGCGACGAUGGGUAGCCGACCUGAGAGGGUGAUCGGCCACAUUGGGACUGAGACACGGCCCAGACUCCUACGGGAGGCAGCAGUGGGGAAUAUUGCGCAAUGGGGGAAACCCUGACGCAGCAACGCCGCGUGAAGGAAGAAGGCUUUCGGGUCGUAAACUUUUGUCUUCUGGGAAGAAUAAAUGACGGUACCAGAGGAGGAAGCCACGGCUAACUACGUGCCAGCAGCCGCGGUAAUACGUAGGUGGCGAGCGUUGUCCGGAUUUACUGGGUGUAAAGGGUGCGUAGGCGGGUAUGCAAGUCAGAUGUGAAAUACCGGGGCUCAACUCCGGGGCUGCAUUUGAAACUGCAUAUCUUGAGUGCAGGAGAGGAAAGUGGAAUCCCUAGUGUAGCGGUGAAAUGCGUAGAGAUUAGAGGAACACCAGUGGCGAAGGCGACUUUCUGGACUGUAACUGACGCUGAGGCACGAAAGUGUGGGGAGCGAACAGGAUUAGAUACCCUGGUAGUCCACACUGUAAACGAUGGAUACUAGGUGUAGGGGGUAUCGACCCCUUCUGUGCCGGAGUUAACACAAUAAGUAUCCCACCUGGGGGAGUACGGGCCGCAAGGUUGAAACUCAAAGGAAUUGACGGGGGCCCGCACAAGCAGUGGAGUAUGUGGUUUAAUUCGAAGCAACGCGAAGA